UACGGAAGGGGCUAGCGUUGUUCGGAAGUACUGGGUGUAAAGCGUGUGUAGGCGGAUCACUAAGUCGGGGGUGAAAGCCCGGGGCUCAACCUCGGAACUGCCUUCGAUACUGGUGAUCUCGAGAAUUGGAGAGGUGAGCGGAAUUCAUAGUGUAGAGGUGAAAUUCGUAGAUAUUCGGACGAACACCAGAGGCGAAGGCGGCUCACUGGACAAUUUCUGACGCUGAGACCCGAAAGCGUGGGGAGCAAACAGG
rnacentral:rRNA from 1 species